UCAGUAAAAGAAAAUAUGCAUUCUCGACGACCAAUAGUACCAUGAACAUCGAUAGUGCCUUUGUUACAAAACAUAGUUUGAAUUUCAUAUAGGGCUUCAGGAAUGGUGGUCUCAUUGGUGUCAGGAGUCACAGAAACUAUCGAUAGUGCAAUUCUUAUGUCGCCAGGAAGAAAAAUGAAAUGGUCUCCAUCUUGAGCUUCUCGUACUCCUUAUCCUUGGCAGCGUAAUCAUCCUAAUCCCAACGAAGAAUGCAUCAAGGAUAACAGUUCAACUGCUAGAAGCACGGAAUUUUUAAGCAGCGGCGUCAGGAUGACGCCUAUGCAACAUAGCAGAUCAAUCACUUUGAACACGGCUUUGUCGUACCUCGCCUUGGGCCCUCCUCCAAGCGCCUACAAUUCCAUGCCAAAAGUGCCAUCAUUUUCAAUCCCAUCAGAAGUGGAAACGAGAUCAGAGUGCACAGGUCUGGUUGUGCAAGGAAACAAAAAAAAAUAACAGCACAAUUCAGUCCGAACCUUGAUGAAGUCCUCGACGGUGCCGGCCUACAUCCCAAAGAAGAUGGCGACCCUCUGCCUGACAUCAUCGUGGUACAAUUCAUCCUUGUGACAUGCAGUGACGUCAUUCAUUUUAAAAUUCUAAGUAGUCCAGGGCAAUUUAUAACUAUUUUGAUUAAAGGAACUCCCAAAUCUUUGGCCUCAUCACUGCCUUUCUUUUUUGAACAAGCUAUUGCUAAACAUAUUAAAAGCAUGAUCACAGAGGUAGGAGCAUUGCAAAUAAAAUUGAUGACCGCAUUAAGUACAUCAAGAUAUUGUAUUUUCUGAACUAAUUUCAGCAAAACUGAUAAAGAAGACUGAAAUAUGGCUAACCUGAUCAAGAACAGAUUGGGAGCCCCACGGUCCACUGCUACUCCGCCUCGCAAUCCCCCGUCUGCACCAGCCACCUGCACCAAUGAAAGGUAAGGUGUAGGUUCACACGAUCUUUCCCACAAUUUCUAUGACCAUGGCAGAACAUGAUGAAUAUCUACUGCGGCAACAUAUUCUUAGACAGAGUUACUACCUCACUGAAGGAAAAAAAAUCAUGCACUAAAUUUCAGUAAAUGGGACUGGGAGCAAAAAGAAACAUUAAUGUAUUAAGUAUAUAUGUCAUGCUUUCCUUUUUUUGCAAAUUAACAUAACAAGGUACCAGUAUUCAACAUUAAUGUAUUAAGUAUAUACCAUUAUUUGACAGCAACACAUUGGGGGAGGGAGGAAUGAAAAUAGCGGGGAGGAAUAAUAGGAUGGAAAAUUUUAUCACCAUAAGAUGCUCCUAAUCUCAAUUUCAUGACCUUACAUUGGUUCUGAAUAAUUUACUUUAAGAUGCAAGGGAAUGUUCAAUCCUGAAUGCAAUAGCCAUGCAACAGUCUGGAAAUCAUCAUCAGUUUUGUGUUUCAUCUGUUUGGAUAAUUGCAUUUGUAAGGAAUUAAGGAUGCGAAGAGUAAGGACAAGCAAAUUCAGCAAUAGAAAUUGUGAGUCCUAAAGCUUAAUAUACUCUAAAACUACAUAAAUUUAAUGAACAUUUACCACACCACAGCCACAUAGUCGCAUGCUACAGCUACAUGCUCAAAAUACCAACAGAUAACAGCCAGCCAUGGUACAAAAUGGUUAGGCUGCCAUGGUACCUAACCAAGAAUUCUGCCACAACAGACUUAGCCAUGUAAUCACUAUAUAGAUGUCAUCAAGUACUAACCUCAUUAUAUGCUGUUCUAUCCAUUAAUUUAAACUUCCUAAGCAUCUAUGGUAUUUUGCAGUCAGUGUACUACAUCAAUGGGGAAACUAUAAAUUGAGAAAAGGCUGAUCUAAAAGUGCAAACAUUAUCCUAAGCAAGCGUUGUCCAUCAGUGUUGGCAAGUAUUUUUAUUCCAUUGUCACUUGUUGUAACAGAGACUAAUGAGCCUUCUCUAUUGCAUCUCAAAUGAGGGCUUGCCACCAAAUUAUGAGUGAAAGAGUGUUAAGAAGAUCUUCACUAUACAGGUAAUAGAUAAAAAAAAAGAUACCAACAGGCAGUCACCAUCACAAUCUAUCAUAUCACAGAAUUUAACAAGAACUCGAUCGAACCAACUAUAAAAUGGAAAUAUCAGAAUGAAUAAUCGAGGGAAUUAGGGAAAUAACACUUGUUGUUUCCACCUAAUCUAAGUUUCUCCUUGGCUUGACAUUACGAGGAACACUCUCAAGGGAAUGGAAAUGUUAAGCUACUACUCAUAAUUAAAACAUUACGAGGAACACUCAAGGGAAUGGAAAUGUUAAGCUACUACUCAUAAUUAAACAAUUAAUUGAAAAAUCUCUGCUAACCUCAACCAGUACAUACACUGCUCCAUUUCAUUUCAGUUAGAUGUAGAAACAUUUCAGGCAUUAGACUAUGCCCUAUCUCAUUACAAAAUUUGCCAAUCCUUAAGGGACCCAAAUUCAGGAUGUAAGACAGAUUGAUUCACUCAACUGAUAAACUCUUAGAAAUCCUUUAGGGAUAAUCUUCUGUUCUUUUUACUUUGUUUUUCUACUAUUAACGAAGGGAAUAAUAAGUAGUGAAAAGGGAAGUGUAAAAAAGAUUAGCUUGACAUUAAUCAAUCAGUUGCUAUGAGUGCUAAUAAAAUUAAGAGGCCAACAUUAUCUUGUUCCUGCUGCACGACGGGUGGCUUCAUGUGUCCCUCAAAGAUCCUGCGCUAGCAGUGGUGGGUCACGGCAUUUGCUAAGGUUAGCCUUGCAGCCGCUGCUGCUGUAGACACCGCCACACGAGGUGCUGGAGGCCGCCGCCGCGGUGCCUCAGCACCUCAUCCGCCACGACCAAGCUAGGUAGCUGCCGCCGUCGAGCCAGCACGUGCGCAACGCGUGCAGCGCCCCAUGAGCGCCCCAGCCCACACGCAUCGUCCAGCACCGCUCUACUGUCGCGCCCCGCACGCAAUCCCCACGGCUAGGGUUAGGGUUACGUGUGACUCCAUGACGCGAAGCGAGCAGUGAGGAGCUCCCGAGGACUACGGCAAGGAAAUAGAGCUUUGAGCAGGGGAGAGAGGACGAGAGAGGAGGCGGCGUCGCCGGGAGGCUUGGGCGGUGCGACGACGCUAGGAGCGAGCAGCGGCGGAGGAAAGA
rnacentral:lncRNA from 1 species